rnacentral:rRNA from 1 species
AACGAACGCUGGCGGCAUGCCUAACACAUGCAAGUCGAACGAGACCUUCGGGUCUAGUGGCGCACGGGUGCGUAACGCGUGGGAACCUGCCCUUAGGUUCGGAAUAACUCCCCGAAAGGUGUGCUAAUACCGGAUAAUCUCUUCGGACCAAAGAUUUAUCGCCUUUGGAUGGGCCCGCGUUGGAUUAGCUAGUUGGUAGGGUAAAAGCCUACCAAGGCGACGAUCCAUAGCUGGUCUGAGAGGAUGAUCAGCCACACUGGGACUGAGACACGGCCCAGACUCCUACGGGAGGCAGCAGUGGGGAAUGUUGGACAAUGGGCGAAAGCCUGAUGCAGCAAUGCCGCGUGAAUGAUGAAGGCCUUAGGGUUGUAAAGCUCUUUUACCCGGGAUGAUAAUGACAGUACCGGGAGAAUAAGCUCCGGCUAACUCCGUG